AUCACUUAUAGUCUGUUUUUUUUUUUUUUUUGCCUUGUAUCUACAGUCCAUGUUUAUGGUCCUUGUUUUCACAAUUUUGGUUGUUUUGUUUGUACUUAACAUGAUAAAUUAUCUGAACUUGCAUUCCCCUCCAUCUCCAUUCAGUGACAAUCCAUUUUAGAUCAAAUCCACAGAAGUGUCAUCUGAACACAUGCUUCAGUAGAAGAGAUUAGGCAUGAGGAAAUAAGGACUUGGAUACAGUGCACAAUCUUAAAUUUUAAAUAUUCAAGUGUGUUUUGGACCCUACUGUACUUGUAAAGUGAGUUGCUGGCUCCAGGUUGUUUUUUCCUUCAUUAGCAGCCAUGGCAAGAAGGUGUCAGAGAGCACAGCCAAGUUGGAAAAGGGGAACUGUUGGAAAGGGAAUAAUGAAGCUCUUAUUUAAAAUA